GAAUUUUGGACAACGGGCGAAAGCCUGAUCCAGCAAUGCCGCGUGCAGGCUGAAGGCCUUCGGGUUGUAAACUGCUUUUGUACGGAACGAAAAGCUUUGGGUUCAUACCCUGGCGUCAUGACCGUACCGUCAGAAUACGACCCGCCGCACUACGUGCCCGCCGCCGCGGUAAUACGUAGGGUGCAAGCGCUAAUCGGAGUUCCUGGGCGUAAAGCGUGCGCAAGCGGUUUUGUAAGACAGAGGUGAAAUCCCCGGGCUCAACCUGGGAACUGCCUUUGUGACUGCAAGGCUAGAGUACGGCAGAGGGGGGUGGAAUUCUGCGUGUAGCAGUGAAAUGCGUAGAUAUGCGGAGGAACACCGAUGGCGAAGGCAACCCCCUGGGCCUGUACUGACGCUCAUGCACGAAAGCGUGGGGAGCAAACA
rnacentral:rRNA from 1 species